GAUGAACGCUGGCGGCGUGCCUAAUACAUGCAAGUCGAGCGAACAGAUAAGGAGCUUGCUCCUUUGACGUUAGCGGCGGACGGGUGAGUAACACGUGGGUAACCUACCUAUAAGACUGGAAUAACUCCGGGAAACCGGGGCUAAUGCCGGAUAAUAUUUAGAACCGCAUGGUUCUAAAGUGAAAGAUGGUUUUACUAUCACUUAUAGAUGGACCCGCGCCGUAUUAGCUAGUUGGUAAGGUAACGGCUUACCAAGGCAACGAUGCGUAGCCGACCUGAGAGGGUGAUCGGCCACACUGGAACUGAGACACGGUCCAGACUCCUACGGGAGGCAGCAGUAGGGAAUCUUCCGCAAUGGGCGAAAGCCUGACGGAGCAACGCCGCGUGAGUGAUGAAGGUCUUCGGAUCGUAAAACUCUGUUAUUAGGGAAGAACAAAUGUGUAAGUAACUGUGCACGUCUUGACGGUACCUAAUCAGAAAGCCACGGCUAACUACGUG
rnacentral:rRNA from 1 species